AGGACUCGGCGGAGACGGGGAAAUUUUGAACAAUGUGUGCUGAAAACGGUUCGUGCUUUGGUGAAGAGCGUGCGUGGUGAAGUGGGCACAGGGGAGAUGAGCACAGCCCUCGUGUAAAAGUGACAAGCAGAUUCACAGAGUUUUGUCUAGGGAAUAACGUGAAAGCUGCCUCCCCCUCCCCAAAAGGUGUGGUAUGUGACUACAGGCACUGACUAAAAUUCCCGAACUCCAAGUGUGAGUUAUAAUGCCUCGUUCCUCUCUUAAUAAGUGUUUCUAUCCAUCUGUUCCAUAGUACUAUGUUAAAAAAGAAUAAAAAGAAUAGUGAUGUAUUUAGUGAAAUGAUAGUAUUAACAAUGAGGAAACAAACUCAGAAUUUAAAUCCUCAUUCUUGCUGCAACUGUGUCUAAUAAUUUUUGCACUGAAGUACACAAAUAAGUAGUGACAUCAGUAGAAACCCAGAAGCAACAGGACUUCAGGAAGUCAAAUAAACUAGUACUGAUUUUCACAUUGUGUAUUGCUUCAUGCUAUAUUUGUUCUGUUUUUUUCCCCAGAUAAUUUUGCUUAAAAAUUGUAAUUCAUCUGCUGAAAUGUGAAGAAGGAGAAAUGUGAAGUUUCUCUUUACAAUGAUUACCCUAAAGUGACAGAGCGAGUGUCCUGGGUCCCUUCUUCCCCAGUUUCAGGCAUUUCAAUACAAGCUGUUACCAAAAGAAUUACUCCAGCACACCAGCCCGGUUUGCCAUGCAAGUGGAUGAAUCUUUAUGCUGGCACAAGGGAAAGAGGCAUGAAUGGGACACAGUGUCCAGGGGAUGUUAAAAAGCUGGUACUAUAAAUUCAUAAUUUAAAAAAGGAAGAAGAGAGCUUUGCUUGUAUUAAAAAAAACCAAAACCCACCUUGAUAUUCUAAUUGGAUCUUUGUAGAAUAGCCUGUGAAUAAUUGUAUGGACUUUAUUCCACUAGUGAAAAAUAAAUACUGUUUUGGAAAGAAAAGAAAAAAAAAAAGA
rnacentral:lncRNA from 1 species